AUGACUGCGUAUUGAAUCUGAUUGGGUCGUGUCGGUGACAUUCGGUUUUUAACGUGAUGUAACGCAUAUAUUGAACAAACACAAACGUACUUUUGGAUUGUAAAAGAAUUAACGUCAAUAUUAUUAAACACAUUUAACUUUUCGUUCAGUAGUGGAGAGUAUGUAUUUCGUAUAGAAAUUUUUGGGUAUAUACGUUUCCGACCCCCUAGUCGACUUGUCAGACAAAAUUUCUUGUAGUGUCAUUCAUGGACCCUCACCUCUACUAUCUAGCUAUCAUCUUACUAUAUUAGUCAAAUAUAGCUAGCAGUUAUAUUUCAAACAUAUUAAUUUUUCGUGUCGGCAUUAUAGAUGAAUUUUGUUUUCAAAAAAUGUUAACAAGAACUCAUUUAAGCUCCGUCGGUAGUGGGGUCCAUGCCAUCUUUAACCAAUCACACCUUUUUUUUUUUAAAAAGUUUACCACUUCACCAAGUGUCUAACCAUUGCCAACCCUUUUCAACAUAGGGUCUGUUUGGUAUGUGGUAAUGGAAUGAAUGAGGGAAUGGAAUGAACGAGGUAAUGGAAUGGACAAUGGAAUGAAAUGGAUCAUUCCAUUCCAUUGUGAUGUUUGGUUACUUAUACGUGAAUAGAAUGAUGUUUGGUUACGUAUAAUAAAAUGAAUUAUUACUUUGUACAAUUUGAUAGACAAAAAAAGACAAGGAAUAGAAAUUGUUAUAUAUGGAAAGAGUUACAUUCCUUUGGAAUGCUCUAUUCCAUUACCACAUGAUAACCAAACAUGUUUCUUUUUAUUCCAUCAGAAUGAUCCAUUCCAUUCCACCAUCUAUUCCUUCAUACCAAACGCUACCAUAGUUUAAACACUUAUGACUGAAUGACGUGGCACACUCUCAUUGGUUAAUUUUGAAGUUUACCACUUUCAAGUGUCUAACCACUCCCUACACCCUAAUGUAUACUAUAUUUCAUUGUGGCAAGUGGCAUUGUGGAGCCCACAAGAACUGCUAAAUGUAUACUAUAGCACGGAUGGGACUAGUCAAAGAGUUGGAAAGAGUUGUACAUGACAGUGAGAUGCCUCAACAAAUUAAAUAUUGAGAUUGAGACUUCACCUUUAGAUAUAUGUGCACAAACAAAUUAAAUAUUGUAAAAUUUGGACCAAAAAUGUAAAAUUUGAACUUAAACGUAGACCAGUCACCAGUCAAAAAUACGCCCA
rnacentral:lncRNA from 1 species